ACAACAAAAGCUGGACAGAUUACAACCACAUCUACGCCGUCUACCACAACUGUCCCUACUACAGUACAAUCUAGCGCGGUCACAACAACAAUACCGACAACAAGCACCACUGCCACGCCCAAAUCAACAACCACGCCCAUUCUUAUGACAGAUACAACGCCUUCACCGUCAACGAGUCCGCGUGAAUCAACUACAACAACACUUGCAAACACGACACCAUCUUCAGGAAUCCCAGAAGGACACAUAGAAAUAUGCCCGAAAUAUGUCAAGGACAUAGAUGUAAAACCGUUUCAAUGGAUUUCUCGGGCAAUACGGCGAGUUUUGUUACGAACUAGUCAAUCAAGCUACCCAGUACAUUAACGCUGAAAGACACUGUGCCAUUGUUUCAACAGGGCAUUUGGUACACGUCCUAAAUCAAGACGAACAAGAUUAUCUAGUGAGAUUUUUGAAUAAGCACAACUAUGUUCAAAGUGUCUGGCUAGGUUUAACUGACAGCGGAAAUGCCAAUGAAGGCACGUGGAGAUGGAAUUCAGGAGCACCGUAUAAAUUCAACAAUUUCAAAGGCGAUUAUACACAACAUACAUCAAACGACCAUAAACUUAGUGAUUGUGUCAUCCUUAAACAAGGCGGGGAAUGGACAGAUGUAGCAUGUGGUGUGACAUUUUUUCUUGGAACUGGUUUUGGAGAAAAACACCCAUACAUAUGCCAAUACAAUGUGUCUUCUGCAUUACCUUCAAUUGACAAGAUUCUCCCCGGUUUUGUUGUUGGCUAGUCCAACACUUUGGACCAUACGGAUGAUGUGUAGAAAAGAACUGUUUGCUGUAACACAUAUUACGUUAUGUAAUAAAACUAUUUACAAGAUA